rnacentral:lncRNA from 1 species
GCAGCCCCGGGUUCCUCCUUCGUAAGAAGGAAAUAAACUUCACAUCAGUGCCAACUCUCCGUAAAGCAUGUAGCGCACUGAUUCCAUGGAACCACAUCGGUUACGUUUGGUGUACGAGGAGUUGGAACCUCGAGUCGGUCUCCCGUGUCAGUCUCGGCGCCACCAGACGUGCUCCUACUCAGCCCAUCCAGGAGGAGUGCGUGGAGUUGCGUUCUCGAGCCGUCGUCCGUGUGAGUCCCGGUGCCACCAGACGUCCUCCUAGCCAGCAGAGCUACGCGGCCUGUUGUACGGCAAGCUGAUCUGAGUGGAGAACUGCGACUGCUACUGGAAUGGACGUCGCCAGCUGAACCGCAAGGGCUGCGCCCUCCGACUGGAAGCCACAUGCGGGUGUACGAGGAGUUGGAACCUCGAGUCGGUCUCCCGUGUCAGUCUCGGCGCCACCAGACGUGCUCCUACUCAGCCCAUCCAGACGUGACACUCCUCUGCCGCUGACAAGAUCGAGCCACAACUAGGCACCCAAGCACGACCAAGAAGGCUGCCCGGCACAUAUUGGACUCAUUCGUGAAAUCAGGUCCGGCCCCAGCGAGCACGAAUGUGCACGGAGGGCUUUCAACUUCCAAAAGUUCGCCAUGAGUUUGCCUCGGGGGCCCCAUAACCACCGGAAUUCUCACUGACGUUAAUAAAGCAGUGAAAC